UUACCAACUCUACAGUUCAGGUCUUCGUGCGAUCACAUAACUCGCAAUUCCAGCCAGAAGCUAUUUUGUUCGUAAAAAAUAUAGACGUCUAAAAUUACAAAGAUGUCAAUCGCCAAGCCCAUGAUGCGUGGACUCUACGCAAGGAAAAUAAAGAUCCAUUUAGUAGGAGCCACCUUGACUAGUAUUACUGGUGGAAUCUUGUGGAAAUUAUUUUACAUGGACCCACGUAAACGUGACUACGACAACUACUGGAACUACUACGAUGCUGAGAUCCAUGAAAGAAUAAUGAUGGAAAAUGGUUUACUUCAGUCAUGUCCCCAGUAAAAACCAUCAGCGCAAAGUAAUUUUUAAAAAUCUGUAUAGGUAUCAUGUAAAAUUAAAGUAAAAAAAAAAAUAAACUAGUACUGUCAUUAAAAAUUACAAUUGUAACUCGAAUAAUACCAAUGUAAUGAUAAAUAAAUAAACAAAUAAUGAAAAAACAAUAAA